AGAACGAAAUCUCUCCCACUACUCUCACUCUCCUCAUCACAAAAUCGCCAGAAAUACAAAUCCCUAGGCCUAUUUCGAUUGAGUGUCAACACAAGCACACUGACGCGCACAGUCAUCAUUACCGCACUCUUUGUCAUACUCGCACGCACAUACCCAGAAAAAAAAUAAUGGAUAGGGGCAACCUGAUGGUGAUUCUGAUUAAAUCCCACUAAUAGUCAUAUUUUUUGUUAAUUAAUGGCGUCGUCGAAGCUGGUGCCGUCGCGGAAUUUAGAUCUCAAGAGAAAACUUUCUGGUUGUGCUUCGGGUUCUUCUACGAGGUUGAUUAAUUUCUUGAGAAAUUCUUAUGUGGAUACUGAUACGGGCUCGGACUCUGACCCGGUUACGGAGGGGGAAGGUUCUAGUACUUUGUUGAAUGCGGAGAUUACGUUGCUUGAUGCUGCCGGAGCUGUGACUCCGAUAAGUGAUUGCGAAGUGGGGAACGUGGAGCCCCCUCGUGCUAUUAGGAAGACGGUUGAUGAUGUCUGGAGGGAGAUUGUGGCUGGAAAGAAGAGGCAGACCGAGCAGGUGCCCAAGCAGGAGAUGAUGACUCUGGAGGAUUUUUUGGUGAAGGCAGGGGCCGUGGAGGGUGAGGCCAGUGGUGCCGGGGCAGGAGUGACUGUGGAGGUGAAGGAGGAGAUGAUGAGUGGUGGGAUUUAUGGGCAUGAAAAUUCUCCUGUGGUGGGAAUGGCGACUGGGUUAGAGAUAGGAGUGGAUGUUGGGGGUUUUGGGAACGGGAGAGGGAGAGGGAGAGGGAGAGGAAAGAGGACCAUGAGCUUGAUGGAACCUUUGGAUAAGGUGGCACAGCAAAAGCCAAGGAGCUUGAGCUUGAGCUUGAGCUUGUUAGAACCGUUGGAUAAGGCGACACAACAAAGGCAGAGGAGGAUGAUUAAGAAUAGGGAGUCAGCUGCAAGGUCAAGAGAGAGAAAGCAGGCCUAUCAAGUGGAAUUGGAGUCAAUGGCAGUGAGACUUCAGGAAGAGAAUGAGCAGCUUUUGAAAGAGAAGGCGGAGUGGACAAAAGAGAGGCUUAAACAGGGAUAUGCAUUCAAGUAUCAUAAUAAGGGGCAUAAGGCUUUCGAUGCGUGAUAGCUGUUGUUCAAUUUUAUAUGCAAAGGAAGCAAGAAAGGCGUGGAUUUAAGGAAUGAGAGGAGAGUGUGAAGAAAUGAGAAUUUAGAGGAACUGUUGUGGUGAUGUCAAAGUUAGUUCGUGUGGAAAAUAAAUGUAAUCCAGAUAUCAGGAAGUUGAAUACUGUUGGCAUGUUGGUGAAACAUUGUAAAGCAGAGGAUAUGGGAAACAUGCUGAGGUAGUUGGGAGGAUAGAAGUCUGCAGAAGGUGGGUCUAGAAGGAAUGAAAUACCAGGGUGGAAAGUUGAUGAAAAUUAGGGGCGAAACUAACUGGGGCGGAAGUUGGCUAAUGGAGAACGUGAUCCCUGUCAUGGAAAAGCGAAGACCUUCACGUUUCCUUCAGAGAGUUCGUUCUGUGCCGUGGUAAUCAGAUUCUAGUGCAGAACCAUGAAGAUAUUUAAAUGCCAUUUCUCCAACGUAGGAGCAAGAUGUUAACAUUUUGUCUGCAAAAAAUGAAGAUUGGAUGGCACUUGUCAAUGCUAAAAAUGAAGAAUUAUACCAUUCAGGUCUGCCCGAUUCAGCAUCCGGACAUGCACUCUGGGUUUAAUAACUUAUUAUGGUGAUUGUUAGUCUUGGAAAGCAGUUAUUCUUCUUGCUGUAAAGUGAAAUAGCAUAUAGUAGGAUAGAAUUGGAGUGUAUUGGUAAUGAAAUUUUUGUGUUCAGUGAAGACCAGUUUAAUUAGAAGUGUUGAGCUUUAUAUAUUUAGCUAGUAUCCCAUUCCCAGUUGCUAAUGUAAGGGGAGAGGGGGUUGUAAUGGCUUCUUGUAUCACUUCAGCUAAUGGCUUAUGAAUUAUGAUAGCUCCUCCUUGACAGUGUUAUGCG